AUCAGCCAACUCUCGGCGGCGGACGUCGCACGGAACCUAAUGUGGUCCAAACAGCGCUUUUAUGAGAAGGGCAAUAAGGCCGACUCACUGCUAGCACGUUGCCUCCGGAAAAAGCAGGACCAAAAAAAGAUCUCCAAAAUCAAGACCCAAAACGGAGAGCUAUCAACGGACCCCGAAAUCAUAGCCCGCGAAUUCCUAAAAUAUUAUUCCGACCUAUACAACCACAACACCACGACAUCAACAGGAGAAGCGGCGCACACGGACGCCAUAUCUUCCUUCCUGAAACCCCUCAACCUUCCCACCCUCUCUACACAGGAGCAAAACAGAUUAGAAGCACCCGUGGAGGUGGAAGAGAUCGCCUCGGUCCUCAAGACGCUGAAACCCAGGAAAAGCCCAGGACCAGACGGCUUUACAGCCAUCUACUAUAAGACAUUCCAAACGAUCCUUAUACCACAAUUAUGCAAAGUCUUCAACGCAGUGCUGGAAGGCCACCCACUCCCCCCGGACAUGCUGGCGGCUGACAUCUGCCUUCUACCCAAACCCGGGAAAGAACACCUAGACCCAGGACACUAUCGCCCAAUUUCCCUAUUAAACACCGACUUGAAAAUACUCACGAAAGUACUGGCCAAUCGCCUUAAUCCGUACCUUCCCACACUGAUUCACCCAGAUCAGGUCGGAUUUAUCCCCACGCGGCAGGCGGCGGAUAACACCAGAAGAGCCUUCGAUACGAUUUGGUACACCAAACAUCGCAACAUCCCGUCAGUGGUGCUCUCGUUGGAUGCGGAGAAGGCGUUCGAUCGCCUUCUCUGGCCAUUCAUGUAUGGAGUACUCGCACAUCUACAAUUUCCGCCAGGCUUCUUGAACAUCCUGCGGGCGGUCUACAAUCGCCCCACGGGAACGCUUCUACUCCCACACGUCAAUGCCCAAACCUUCACCAUCGCCAACGGGACCAGACAGGGCUGUCCCCUUUCCCCCCUCCUCUUCGCAAUUGCACUGGAACCCUUGCUCCAAGCCAUCCGCCUCCACCCCAUCAUUCGGGGAGUGCAGAUAAGACAGGAAGCGUACACAGCGGCAGCGUACGCUGAUGAUGUUCUUCUCACUCUAACGGAUCCCAUAUCCUCUUUACAUGCAACACUGCACCUCAUAAGCGAAUACUCUACCCUCUCAGGAUACAAAAUUAAUUUAACCAAAUCUACUUUAAUGCCCAUAGCUCUAUCAGAUCCACAGUUGCAACUGCUCCACCACUCCUUCCCGUUCCGCGUCACCAAGUCCUUCAUUACCUACCUAGGCACCAAGCUAUCCUCGGACCUUGGAGACACAUACGGAAUCAACUACACGCCACUCCUCAAAACAGCAUACGCAGACCUCCAACGCUGGGACAAACUGGGAAUCUCUUGGAUGGGGCGAAUCACCACAAUCAAAAUGAACCUCCUGCCGAGAUUUCUCUACCUUUUCCAGACACUACCCAUCCCGCUACUGAACUCGGAUUUCAAGCGUCUCCAGACGGCCAUAGACAAAUUCAUAUGGAAAGCCAAGAAACCCAGGAUCCGUAGAACAACAAUGUACGUCCCUAGACUAAGAGGAGGGCUGGGACUGCCCAACUUCAAACAUUACUACCACGCGGCCCAAUUGGCCCACAUCCAACAAUGGCAUGCAAUGGCAGCAAACGCUGGGUAGACCUGGAACAUGAUAUUCUGGGCUGGGAUCAGCCCUCCUCAUACAUCUGGGUACCACGGAUACACCGUCCACUCCCCCCACCCACCUCUCCGGCAAUCACACAUACCAUCGCACUCUGGGAUAAACUUAAUACUAAAUACGACCUGUCCUCCUUUCUCUCCCCAAUGACCCCGAUCUAUCGCAACAAACUCUUCCCUCCCGGAAUGACAGCAAGGCAUUUUCUAGCGUUUGACCACCGAGAUAUCUCACGACUCGGCCACUUGUACCAGCAAGGUGAAAUCUUUAAAUACAACGAACUCCCAAACGCGGGGGCUCUGACCACCGCUGAUCAUUUUCGCUAUAUACAACUCCGAGACCUAGCGCAACAACCACUAAUUAAACAAGCAGGUACCUCACCGCUGACAGCAUACGAAAAACAAUGCCUAGCGGCCCCCCUGCAACCAGGCCAAAUCUCCGCCAACUACACAACAUUGACUACCCACAUCUCCCAGGUCAAUCUGACCUAUAUUGCCGCGUGGGAAAGAGAUCUGGGAGCACCGGAGGACCCGACCGAUUGGGCCGCCAUAUGGGAAACACUAAAUUCCCUUACCGUAUGCGUCACGCACAAAGAACAGGCAUACAAAACAAUGCUCCGCUGGUACCUGACUCCACACAGACUCCACAAGAUGGGCCAGAAACCAGACGACGGGUGCUGGAACCUAUGCGGCGAAGCAGGCCGCUACCUGCACUGCUGGUGGACAUGCCCCAAAAUUAAGCCACUAUGGGAAGAGGUUAGCACCCUCAUAGAAACGAUCAUAGAGAAGCCAGUGGUCGUACAACCGUGGACUAUGCUACUCAGCAAACCAUUAGACUCCCUCACGAGGAGUGAAAACAAACUAACCGCCCGAAUCAAUCUAGCAGCCCGAAGGGCAAUAGCAGAACUAUGGGCUGACCAGAGAACACCCCACAUCUCUACGAUCAUCAGUAAAAUUAAAGAGACCCGAGACCUAGACGAGUUGACAGCACAGAUUAAUGAUACGUACAAAUCAUUCCAUCGUAUAUGGGAUCCCUGGGAUGUGAACCACACAAAACUGCUUGAGACCAGCCUAAGAACAGACACCCCGGACUGAGGAUAGCGCUCCCUCAAUGACACCUCGCAUAGAAGGCUUACCACAUAGGCGCAAUGCUACUGGAACCCUGAAUGGGAUCUGCUCAACAUGGGACGGACGCCAGAAC
rnacentral:lncRNA from 1 species